rnacentral:rRNA from 1 species
UACGGAGGGUGCAAGCGUUCUCCGGAUUCACUGGGUUUAAAGGGUGCGUAGGAGGGCAGGUAAGUCAGUGGUGAAAUCUCCAAGCUUAACUUGGAAACUGCCGUUGAUACUAUCUGUCUUGAAUAUUGUGGAGGUGAGCGGAAUAUGUCAUGUAGCGGUGAAAUGCUUAGAUAUGACAUAGAACACCAAUUGCGAAGGCAGCUCACUACUCAAUCAUUGACUCUGAGGCACGAAAGCGUGGGGAUCAAACAGG